AUAGCCAUGCAUGAGAAAUGGCCGAAGCCAGUUCGCAUAUUUGUUGGAGUUGCAUUAAUUGUAAUUGCAAUCGAUUAUUUAAUGACUCGUUAAGAAGGAAAACAGGUCAUCAAAUAUGCGCACGAGUUUGAUUAUAGCGAUGGUGGAGUCCAUUUCGAAGAUAAUUAAGUCAGACAUAAGGACACUUCUAAAAUCAUUAUGAUGUCCUCCAUGUAUCAUUCGGUAUGUGAAAUUUGAUUAUGAUGGUUCCUGGGGCCAGUUUAUGCUCUCAAGAGUGAAAAUUCAGGAGCGAAUAUCGCUCGAGGUAAGUAAAACGAUGAAAGGAAAGUAGAAGAAAGAAAAAGAAAAAGAAAAAGAAAGGAAAAUGUUCGCGAAAUGUUUCAGAACGAGCGGCAGAUAAGGUUUAUUUUAUUGGGCACUGAUUUAUGUAAAUGUCUAUUUGUGCGAGAAAAUUGAAGUCAUUUUUACUGAAUCAAAAAUAUUAUUU